GAUGAACGCUGGCGGCGUGCCUAAUACAUGCAAGUCGAGCGAACGGACGAGAAGCUUGCUUCUCUGAUUUUAGCGGCGGACGGGUGAGUAACACGUGGAUAACAUACCUAUAAGACUGGGAUAAAUUCGGGAAACCGGAGCUAAUACCGGAUAAUAUUUUGAACCGCAUGGUUCAAAAGUGAAAGACGGUCUUGCUGUCACUUAUAGAUGGAUCCGCGCUGCAUUAGCUAGUUGGUAAGGUAACGGCUUACCAAGGCAACGAUGCAUAGCCGACCUGAGAGGGUGAUCGGCCACACUGGAACUGAGACACGGUCCAGACUCCUACGGGAGGCAGCAGUAGGGAAUCUUCCGCAAUGGGCGAAAGCCUGACGGAGCAACGCCGCGUGAGUGAUGAAGGUCUUCGGAUCGUAAAACUCUGUUAUCAGGGAAGAACAGAUGAGUAAGAAACUGUGCACAUCUUGACGGUACCUAAUCAGAAAGCCACGGCUAACUACGUG
rnacentral:rRNA from 1 species